AUACGUAGGUGGCAAGCGUUGUCCGGAUUUACUGGGUGUAAAGGGUGCGUAGGCGGGGCAGCAAGUUGGAUGUGAAAUCCUCGGGCUCCACUCGAGAACUGCAUUCAAAACUGUUGCUCUUGAGUGCAGUAGAGGCAAGCGGAAUUCCCGGUGUAGCGGUGAAAUGCGCAGAGAUCGGGAGGAACACCAGUGGCGAAGGCGGCUUGCUGGUCUGUAACUGACGCUGAGGCGCGAAAGCUAGGGGAGCGAACAGGAUUAGAUACCCUGGUAGUCCUAGCCGUAAACGAUGGGUACUAGGUGUAGGGGGUUUAGACGCCCUCUGUGCCGCAGUUAACACAUUAAGUACCCCGCCUGGGGAGUACGGCCGCAAGGCUGAAACUCAAAGGAAUUGACGGGG
rnacentral:rRNA from 1 species